rnacentral:rRNA from 1 species
UACGGAGGGUGCAAGCGUUAUCCGGAUUCACUGGGUUUAAAGGGUGCGUAGGAGGGCAGGUAAGUCAGUGGUGAAAUCUCCGGGCUUAACUCGGAAACUGCCGUUGAUACUAUCUGUCUUGAAUAUUGUGGAGGUGAGCGGAAUAUGUCAUGUAGCGGUGAAAUGCUUAGAUAUGACAUAGAACACCAAUUGCGAAGGCAGCUCACUACACAAUCAUUGACGCUGAGGCACGAAAGCGUGGGGAUCAAACAGG